UAGUCUACGCCGUAAACGAUGGUUACUAGCUGUUUGGACUUCGGUCUGAGUGGCUAAGCGAAAGUGAUAAGUAACCCACCUGGGGAGUACGAUCGCAAGAUUGAAACUCAAAGGAAUUGACGGGGGCCCGCACAAGCGGUGGAGCAUGUGGUUUAAUUCGAUGAUACGCGAGGAACCUUACCAGGGCUUAAAUGUGGAUUGAUAGAGGCAGAGACGCCUUUUUCUUCGGACAAUUCACAAGGUGCUGCAUGGUUGUCGUCAGCUCGUGCCGUGAGGUGUCAGGUUAAGUCCUAUAACGAGCGCAACCCCUGUUGUUAGUUACCAGCACGUAAAGGUGGGGACUCUAGCAAGACUGCCGGUGCAAACCGCGAGGAAGGUGGGGAUGACGUCAAAUCAUCACGGCCCUUACGUCCUGGGCUACACACGAGCUACAAUGGUAGGUACAGAGAGCAGCCACUACGCAAGUAGGCGCGAAUCUAUAAAACCUAUCUCAGUUCGGAUCGGAGUCUGCAA
rnacentral:rRNA from 1 species